UACGUAGGUGGCAAGCGUUGUCUGGAAUUAUUGGGCGUAAAGCGCGCGCAGGUGGUUUCUUAAGUCUGAUGUGAAAGCCCACGGCUCAACCGUGGAGGGUCAUUGGAAACUGGGGAACUUGAGUGCAGGAGAGAAGAGUGGAAUUCCACGUGUAGCGGUGAAAUGCGUAGAGAUGUGGAGGAACACCAGUGGCGAAGGCGACUCUUUGGCCUGUAACUGACGCUGAGGAGCGAAAGCAUGGGGAGCGAACAGG
rnacentral:rRNA from 1 species